rnacentral:lncRNA from 1 species
GAUUAUUGCUCUGAGCAUAAAGAUGUGGCUGAUUCACAAUGAAUCUGAGUCUUUGGAAACUCCCAUGUCUGUUGACCUCAGAAGAAAGCUGCUCUAUUCUGUGAGUCAGAACUUGAUCUCAAGAAGGAGUUGUGGACUCAUCCCACCACACCCAGUAGUUCCCAUUGAUCCAUGGAACAUAAAAGCCCCCGACUUCACCCCAAAACUGUACAGAUCUUCGAGUUUGCCACGGAUCAAGAGCAAAAACAUUCACCUUGUUAAAUCAAACAAUAGUGUGGACGGAAAAUCGUUCAUUUUGGUAAAGAUUAACGAUGUUACUCCUUCAAUAUUGCCUGGACUUGAGCAAAAGGGAUGUAAAGCACAACCAUUUAUCACAUUUUACAAACCACCAGACACACUAGAGUCAAAACUGCUGUUUGUGAGUGCAGGGAUGUAUCCAGCGGGGCUGUACAAAGAUCCAAAACCUCAUAACUUCAGACCUUGUGCUGAGGGAAUGCCGGAAAUUGUGACUUCUUUAGAAAAGGAUUCUGGCUGCUUGAUCCUAAAGUCUCAGUGCCUAAAAGCAGUCAAUGACAGCCAUCCUGACAUGAACCCUUCUCACAGAGACACAGUGAGCAAAAUAGACACUUUCAAACCAGCAGAGCUUAAAUGGGACUCAAGGCUCAUACUACCAAAGACGCCAUGGCCUCCAAAAGCUGCGUCUUAUACAAGACAUCGCCGCAGAAGAAGAGUAUAUAGUGCCUUAAUAGACCGAGUUGAAGAAAAGCUGACCAACUCUUGGAGGAAAUGAAUCUGUUUUAAGACAAAAGAAAGAAUUUUGUGUUGUGGUGUGCAGAUAAAGCUAGUUUAAACAUCAAUUCUCUGCUUUGUCUAAUGAGUCCUGCUGUUUUAUGGAGAACCCCA